GAUGGCCUGCGGCGUUGGUGAAUGCCGAUAAAGUUGUCGAUCGUAACUACGUGCGAUUGGGAACAGCCAACGGCUGGCGGUGAGCAAGCCGGGCAUCUUAAUCAGAUGAUUUCCGGAGACUCUAAAGCCAGUGCGCCCGUUCCCACCUGGUUUACCAGAGGUCGCAUACUGAGGUAAAACGGCGUUGCGGGUCAAUU
rnacentral:other from 1 species